rnacentral:lncRNA from 10 species
AAAAGCAGGCUGCCCGAGCCAGCAUUGGCAACCCGCUCGCGUCCCCUUCCAGACUGUGGAAGCUUUGUUUUUUCGCUUUUUGCAGUAAAUCUUGCUACUGCUCGCUCUUUGGGUCCAGGCUGCUCUUAUGAGCUGUAACACUCACGGCGAAGAUCUGCAGCUUCACACCUGAGCCCAGCGAGACUACGAGCCCACCCGGAGGAACGAGGAGCUCCAGACGCGCUGCCUUAAGAGCUGUAACACUCACCGCGAAGGUCUGCAGCUUCACUCCUGAGCCAGCGAGACCACGAACCCACCAGAAGGAAGAAACUCCGAACACAUUUGAACAUCAGAAGGGAUAAACUCCAGACGUGCCACCUUAGGAGCUGUAAACCUCACCGUGAGGGUGCGCGGCCUCAUUCUUGAAGUAAGUGAGACCAAGAACCCACCAAUUCCAGACACAAUAACAUACAAAAAUCAAUCUGAGUGGAUUAAAACAAUGUAAAAAUAGCCAUACAGUUACUAAAGAUAAUAUAGAAUGUGUGUAUCUGAUAUAAGGAAGAAAAUAUUUGUUAAAUAAAUGUAAAAACAUGUAAAACAAAAAUUUACAAGUCCCAUUACAUUAAAAAUUAGGACCAAUGUUCAUGAAAGACAGGCCAAACGUGGGGAAGACACUUGUGUGACAUGAAAAAGGAUUGUGAUACAGGAUUGAGUUGACUUCAAGAAUCGGUCUUCGAGCUUCUUUCCUCAGCUUGGUUGAUUCUGCUGUUAAUACUUGUGAACCCAUUGCUAGGGAACCAGUGUGGUCAUUUGGAGGGAACCCAGCCAGCAUGCUUGUGAGAAGCAUGCCUGAGUCCUAGAGAGUCAAUAGUCUCUGAUGAAUGCCACCCAACAGUCAAUAUCAACUGAAAGCCAUCUGCGUGAGCCAUCUCAGUCCAGUCAAGCUAUCAACAUGACUGCAGCAGCACUGGAGACUGCAAGAAAGAAUUGCCCAGCUUAGGCCAGUCAACACACAGGAUUACAAAAGGUAAUUAUAAAUUAUUGUUUCAAGUCACUGAGUUUUUGGAUAACAACAAAUAAAAUGAGCAAUGUAAGUUGGAUAACCUUUAUCCAAAACACUUGGGACCAGAAUUGUUUCAGAUUUCGGAUUUGUUUUUUUGGAUUUUAGAAUAUUUGCACAGACAUAAUAAGAUAUCUUGGGGAUGAAACCAAAGUCUAAAAACAAAAUUUGCUUAUGUUUCAUAUAUACUUUACACACAUAAGCUGAGAUAAUUUUAUACAAUACUUUGAAUAAUUUUGUACAUGAAGCAAAGUUUGUACUAAGUACUUAUGUAUGGAAUUUUCUACUUUUAACUUCAUGUUGGUACUCAAAAAGUUUCAGAUUUUGGAGCAUUUCGGAUUUCAGAUUAUUGUAUUAUGCAUGCUCAAUAUGUACAUGCAAUAUGCCUUAAAACACGCAGAAGUAUACCUACAACUUAAAAUAAUAAGGAAUUCAAAAUGUCAAAUCUGUACAUCUGGAGACAUUUAAUAAACAUAUGUCAACAUUUUAAAAUAGUAAUUAAUCUUCAUUUAUUAACACAAUCCUUGACAUGUAGAAGGUGUUUUGUAAAUAUGUUAAAACAUAGACACAGGCAAGCUGUAGGGUCAAGGAAAGCUUAAAAGAGGGAAGAAUAUUGAAUCUAGGUGAAAAUGAUAGAUAUAUUUUCUCCAGA